UACGGGGGGGGCAAGCGUUGUUCGGAAUUACUGGGCGUAAAGGGCUCGUAGGUGGCCAACUAAGUCAGACGUGAAAUCCCUCGGCUUAACCGGGGAACUGCGUCUGAUACUGGAUGGCUUGAGAUUGGGAGAGGGAUGCGGAAUUCCAGGUGUAGCGGUGAAAUGCGUAGAUAUCUGGAGGAACACCGGUGGCGAAGGCGGCAUCCUGGACCAACACUGACACUGAGGAGCGAAAGCCAGGGGACCAAACGGG
rnacentral:rRNA from 1 species